CUGUAACCCCUUUGGUCGAUCAAAAAGAAUCCCUUUUUAUAGGAAUCUGAUCAGAUCAGACAUCCUAAAAUAGGACUCUCUUAGGUCCACCCCAAUCCGAUUUCUCCCUUAUUUUGUCACACAAAAUCAAUGAGAAAUUCAGAUUGAUGUGGAGAUAGGAUAAAGUUGUUGUCACCUCAUUCCAAUCCACCUUUGAAUCGAAUUCAAACGGUUUUAAAUUCGAAGCUGAAUUCAAAUCUGAAUUGGAAUUCAAAGGAGAUCAAAUCUCUUAUCCUCAUCCACU
rnacentral:lncRNA from 1 species